AGUGUGCCCAUAGGAAACUGAAGACAGUUGCACGCAGUUGGUUUACCACCUGCUGGCAUGGUUAUGGUAAUUGCAGUAGAAGAGAUCACAAGCUGCCAAACUCCAUUUGCCUGACUAAGAUCUCAGAUGAGCUGGACAGAGGUUUACCCCCAAUGAGCAGCAGCACAUCAGUAUCCACUGCAGGCGCCAGCUGACAGCUGGCUCCCUCUUCUUCUCCAACCAUCUGAGCAGCAGCAAAAGUCUCUUCUUCUGAAGAGACAAGCAGAUGCAGAGACCCAUCCUUUGACAAAAUGCUCGUUGCUCUGUUAGUGUCUAGUUCUGCCUCUGAAGUUGUUUGCAAUGCACAAAAGCCCCCCAACCCCAGAGGCAAGCUAAAGGUUUUCAUUUCAAUUGCAUCGCUUGCCUCGUUGCCUAAUGCUUGGUAUGCGGUUUGCUGACGGAAGUAGUUGCAAAGGCGAGUGUGCUUUGGGAUGGUCACCAGCUGGUAAUGGUCCUUCUGCUUACUCUUGCAAUGGCUGGGGAACGUACCAGUGAAAUCUGAAGUAGUUUGGAAACCAACACCAAUUCCUAAGAUGCAGUGAUACAUUUUAGGAGAAAAGUUUGUCUUGGUGAUAAUGCUAAGCUUCUUCCAUGUCUGUGUAUGGAAAUGAUACAUCCAGAGGUCAUCAUUAGGACUGGAAUUUGAAAUCCCUCCACCAAAAAUCAGCAUGGAGUCUUUGAAGACUAUUGAAGCAUGACCUACCACUGGAGGAGGUCCUUGGCUAAAUGUAAGAGAAACCAGCAGUUAAGGGGUGACCAGCAGGAAAGUGACACUGGUUUUAGCCUCUCUUUUUCUUUUGAUUCAGAAGAAUGACUACUAAACAGCUGCACUGGGACAUCAAAACUGCACUACUGACAGCUGCAUCAGCACAUUGCCAACAGCUCUUCCAGGCAAAGCCAACUGGCACCCCAGGGGUGGCAACAGUACUACAUCUUGAUCUGAGAAAUUCCUACAGUCACUGAAAGGACAUCUCCCUCUCCACCUGCACACAGUAUCAAAUGAAAAGCCUGGUGAACAUUCUGCUAUUUUAAUGGAGACAGCAUUCCAGAACCACUCAUUGCCUUCUCAAUCUGGGACAGCUUGAGGGAUGUGGAUCUGGAAUUCUUGGAGACAUUGCUCAGGGGAAUUGGCAGUUACGGAGUAAUGACGCAUUAUAGGUGUCUGUAGUACUUUACAGUGUGCCACUGAAAAGGGAAAAGCAGCUGACGUCAUGAAACGCAGACUCUCCCCCUAACUCUGCCAAGCUUCUGUGUAACCACAGCCAAUUAAUUUAUUUACUUCUACAGCUAAACUUGGACAAAGACUCCUCCUUAGUAAAACAUUUCAAAUUUUCUGAUACAGUGCUGUGUGAGAGUGCCAAGGUAUUACUACUUUUGAUAUAAUGUGCAAAACAUGAUAGGUCUUUGCUAUUAAUACUUUAGAAAGGUAAAAUAGGCUUGUCCCCUUGAGUAUUGGUUUGGGUUUUUUUCCCUAAGCUAUAGAACUGGUUAUUCCUCUUCCUACGUACUUAAGUUCGUUAUUCUUCCUGGAAACCUUGCCUUCUAUUAUACAAACAUUCAGAGAAGAUGACAGCCCUGAUUUUAUAUAGUAGAUUAGCCACAAAAUCUUGUCCACUUGUUUAUCUACCCUAGCUGAACUCUGUGUAAGGCAAGCAAGCAGGGUGAGAUAAUAAAAGGCCAAUCAGGGAUUAACUGAAUGGGUGCCUCCUCCCAGUCACACCUUCUGAGCAUCAACUGACCCCUGUGAAACAUGGCCAUAUACUACUCUUUUGGCAUAAAGCAUUCUUGAAAGCAGAUCUAAAAUCACUCAAACAGCACAGUUCACAAAUUGUUUUAUUUCAGAGUUGGGGAAAAAACACAUUCAAAAUUAAUCUCGAGUCUUGCCUUUUAUCACUGGUAUUUUAAAGUACAAACUUGACUCCUGCAUUUAUAUAUGCUUUUUAUAGAACCAGCCGCACCAAAGUUUAUCUGCUGUUCACCUCAACAGUCCCAUUCCCAGAGAAAAAACUGCUGUUCUCCUGAGAUCAAUGUCACUGAGCAGUAUCCUUUGGGUCAUGCAACCCUGACCUCAGCUUCAACUUGGUACAAGCAAGAUCAGUUAUCCAAUAGGAAGCUCCAACUUCAGCAGGAUUUCCACAAAAAUACCCAAAAGGACAACUCAGGGCAUUUUUAUACAACUUUUUUUUUUUCCCCGAUACAGAUGUAGCACACACACAAAAAAAUGGCUGCUGCUCUCCAAACUCUUCUGCUAUUUCAUUCUAAAUAUAGCUCCUGUGCAAUCAAUCCCAAUUGUUGAACGGCUGGAGGAACUGCCAGACAAGGACCUAAAGAGCUGCAAUUAGCAUAGUAACUAUAGCACAGAGUGCUUAUCAGUUAAUGGCACUACACUACUGUUUCAUAAUACAAAUAAUUCAGGAAAUGUAGAAAGACAGGAAUUACUUCAGGAAAUGUAGUUUAUAUGUUCAUUAUAUAAUUAUUCAUAUUUUUAUUACAUGUGGUUUUGGAGACAAAUGAUUUAUUUAUUUAAAGUAUUACUUAAAUAUGAUCUUCAUUACAGCUUUUUUCUACCUCAGGCCCCUGAUUCAUUUCCAUCUGUUUUCAAUAUACUCAGAACUAAGUUUCACAUUUAAAAGGAUCCAGCCUUUUGAAAUAUAAUGAGAUAUGAAACCACUCAUAUUGGGGGAAGAAAGUAGGAAAUACUUUAUUUUGGGGGGGAGGGUUGGGAGGACAGUGUGUGUAUGUCUAUUUUCUUGUUAAUUACCCAGUUUUCUGAACUCAACCCUUGACCCUCCCCAUGCAGAACACUGUAUUUUCUUAUUUUUUAUUGCUCUUCCAAAAUAAUAACAGAUCUUCCCAGUUCUACUUAUCUUAGAAACCUUCCCUUUAGUGGUAGUUUUAUUGUAAUGCUUGUUCCAAUGGGACUGCUUGCAUGAAUAAGGAGGAAACUGACUGAAGAUUUGUGAGGCAGUUACAAAGUUCUUUAAAUGAACCCACUUAGUUUAGAACAGUUUAGAGGGCAAGGCCUUUCUUCAGUAUAUCGCAUUUACUUGCAAGACUUUACUAUGUGUGAUAAACUUUAGUAUCCUCAAGUUUCCUAUUUUAUUAUUUCCUAAAAUCAAGUUGUUACGAACUGCUUCUGGGGUGAGGGGUUUUUGUGUUUUUGUUUUCCAAAUACAAGAACUAAUUUUCAGAGAUGCUCAGCUUCAGAAUUUCAGCUUCAAAGACCAGACUGACUCUAGGAAUAUAGGGUAUCUGUAAUAUUUCUCUAUUAUUAGAAUUCUGAAUUGAAGUAAGGGCCCUGCUUUUGCUAUGUGUUAUAAAACAUGCAGGUACUUACAUGACUGAACUCACAACAGAAGUAGUCAAGACAAAAGGAAGAAGAUGGAAAAUUGUUAUUUCUUCUUACAGGGGAAGUGGAAGGACAGAAAGAGGAUUUGUAAAAUUACAAAUCCAAACAGGGCCCCAGCUCCAUCCUGAUUUCAGAAAAAUGACAGGUACUUUAAAAUAAUAAACACCUCCACUGGCUUUAUAGAGCUUAGAGUGAACAUACUAAAAAUUUACAGAAAAUCUGAAAGCCUUUAAUAUUGAAUAAGCCUUAUUGGAAUUUUAACAACUUUAGGGUAGUAUUCUUAAACAUUAUCAUUGUUAUAUUUCACUGCUUCAGAAUGAUUUUUCAGAAUGUUUUGAACAGGUAUUUCAGAGGUAAACUCUUCUGGAACAGUCAUGCAUAAUUAGUUUCUAUAUGCUGUAGACCUAUAUAUGUAACUACUACUUCUGAAGUGUGGAGUCCUUAGACCACAGAGAGCACUGGCAUCUUUACUGCAAAACAGAUGACAGCACCACAAAUUUCUUCUCUGAACACUGUCUGCCUGCUUCUGAGCUCUGCAGGCAAAGCACUGCAUUCUUUUAAUUCAGACAACAUUAGUAUUAAAGCUCUAGUUUACAAUUUUCAGAAUAAAUUUAUGUUUGCAUAUAAUUCCAAAUUUAAUUUUGCAAAAUGAUAUUAUUAAUAUAGUCUCAUUUGGUUUAAUUUUUAGAAGCUUUAACUCAGAAAAUAAAUUCAUUAUAUUCAUUACUGUGUAGCACUACUCCAUCUCUAUUACAAAGUUCUUAAGAAGUAAUAAAUAUAAGAGUUUAUUAAAUAAAGAAGUAUAAAUAUAUUUAGUUGUAUUUUCUGUGUGCUAGGUAUAUUUCUCAUUUUAAAGGUAACAAAUACAACCUGGCUUGGAGUAAUACAAUAAAUAUUUAAUUUCCCAAAUACUGCAAAGGGAGUGGUAUCUGGGAAAAAAAAUGAGUACUUAAAAUAUUUCUGGGAUUGUUACACAUUUAUAUACACCUCUAGUAUAUCAGUCAGGAAAUUACCUUUGCCACUGUACUGAAAUAAGUUUUAUGGUACUAACAAAAAAUAAAUACAUCUAUAUUACAUUACU